CGGCGGUAAUUCCAGCUCGAAUAGCAUAUAUUAAAUUUGUUGCAGUUAAAAAGCUCGUAGUUGGAUGAAAAAUAUUACAGAAUAGAGUAUUCACACAGUAAAGUGAGACAAGACAGUGUGUGAUUGUGUGUGCACUCUCGCAUAUGCAUAAUAACAUAUGCGCGGGUUGCACAAAGUGCACUCUCGCGCAGUGUGUUGUUUCAUGUGAGAAUUAGUGUCUAUUUUGUAUAUAUUAUCCUUAUCAAGAUUUCAUUUUCUAUCUUAAGUGAUAGAGAGAAUGUCAUAUAUCUGUGUCUCACACUGUGUGCGCCAUAGAGCGCUCAUAGCGGGAGAGGAGAGAGUGACAGAGGACACACUGUGUGGGGAUUGUGUUCACUGUGUAGAGAGUUAUUACACUUUCUCAUUCAGGGGAGACACACAGUGUGUUAUAGAAAGUUGAUACAAUUACUUUGAGUAAAUUAGAGUGUUCAAAGCAAGCAGAAGAGUUUUUUUUUUUUUUAUUAUUAAUAAUUUAUGCAAUGAAUACUAUUAGCAUGGGAUAAUGGAAUAGGACAUGUGUUCAGAAUAUUUUAUGUUGGUUGGUUUUUAUAUGGACAGAGAGUGGUGGACAGUCUGGCUCUGGCGCGCUGUGGCGUGGCUGUGGCGCGGAGAGUUUUAGAGGGUGACUACUCUGUAUGUGUAAUGAUUAAAAGGAGCAGUUGAGGGUAUUUGUAUUGUGUAGUGAGAGGUGAAAUUCUUGGACCUAUGGACGACAAACUUAUGCGAAAGCAUUUGUCAAAGAUGUUUUCAUUAAUCAAGAACGAAAGUUAGGGGAUCGAAGACGAUCAGAUACCGUCGUAGUCUUAACCAUAAACGAUGCCGACCAGGGAUUGGAAGAGGAAAUUAUCCUAUACAUUGCAGAGAUUGUGUGAUAAUUGGGAAACGGUUACUACUACUCUUUUUUAGUGACUGUGACACCCGGUUGUGCACACAGACUCUGUAAUAAAUAUAUAAAUAGGAGAACUGUUUCAGUACCUUUGAGAGAAAUCAUUGAGUGUUUGGGUUGUGGGGGGAGUAUGGUCGCAAGGCUGAAACUUAAAGGAAUUGACGGAAGGGCACCACCAGGAGUGGAGCGUGCGGCUUAAUUUGACUCAACACGGGGAAACUCACCAGGUCCAGACACAGUUAGGAUUGACAGAUUGAGAGCUCUUUCUUGAUUCUGUGGGUGGUGGUGCAUGGCCGUUCUUAGUUGGUGGAGUGAUUUGUCUGGUUAAUUCCGAUAACGAACGAGACCUCAGCAUAUUAAUUAGGGAUGCAAAUGAAUACAUAUGCGCCGCGGUGCGGCCUGUUGCCUCUUCUGAGACCGUGCGCUUACAGGGGUUUUAAUAGAAUCACUGUGAGGGGUGGAGGGGGGGGGGGCGGGGCGGUUGUGGAGUAUAUAUGUAUCUGUAUAACCUGUGUCUAUAUGGUACAGGGAGAGAUAGAUUAGGGUAUUUAUUAGUGAGCGCUGGUGUAGCAGUCACUCUCACCCCGUGCAUCGAUAGAGAGAUAUGAUUUUGUAUGGGAGAUAGUGUGUGUAUUUUGACUCAGACACUGACUCCAUGUAAGUACAUAUAUUGAGAUGCUUUUGUGUAAGUUGGUGUGUACGGGGUGGUGUGAGAGUAUAUAACAGUGUGUAAUGUCUUCUUAGAUGGACACAUGGUGUUGAAGCUAUGGGAAGCAUGAGGCAAUAACAGGUCUGUGAUGCCCUUUAGAUGUUCUGGGCUGCACGCGCGCUACACUGAUACAAACAAGGAGGAUUUACAAAGUAAAAACUCUUUAAUAUAGUAAAGAGAUAUUUUGUUGAUUGGGUUUGAAAGGAUUAUGGAAACUUAGGAAGUUGUAUCGUGAUGGGGAUCGAUGAUUGAAAUUAUUUAUCGUGAACGAGGAAUUCCUAGUAAGCGCAAGUCAACAGCUUGUGCUGAUUACGUCCCUGCCCUUUGUACACACCGCCCGUCGCUCCUACCGAUGUUUGGUCCGGUAAAAUUUUAGGAUUUGCAUUGUGGUGUUAAAUGUGUGAGGCUCUUCGUGAAGGGGUGCACACUUCUGUCA
rnacentral:rRNA from 1 species